CGACGUGAGGAACCUGCCUUGAAGAGGGGGACAACAGUUGGAAACGACUGCUAAUACCGCAUGACGCAUAGGGGUCGCAUGAUUCUUAUGCCAAAGAUUUAUCGCUUCAAGAUGGCCUCGCGUCUGAUUAGCUAGUUGGCGGGGUAACGGCCCACCAAGGCGACGAUCAGUAGCCGGACUGAGAGGUUGAACGGCCACAUUGGGACUGAGAUACGGCCCAG
rnacentral:rRNA from 1 species